rnacentral:rRNA from 1 species
UAGUCCACGCCCUAAACGAUGUUUACUCGAUGUUUGGACUUCGGUUUGAGCAUCCAAGGGAAACCAUGAAGUAGACCGCCUGGGGAGUACGGCCGCAAGGUUAAAACUCAAACGAAUUGACGGGGACCCGCACAAGCGGUGGAUGAUGUGGAUUAAUUCGAUGCAACGCGAAAAACCUUACCUACACUUGACAUGUCAGGAACUUUCAAGAGAUUGAUUGGUGCCCGAAAGGGAACCUGAACACAGGUGCUGCAUGGCUGUCGUCAGCUCGUGUCGUGAGAUGUUGGGUUAAGUCCCGCAACGAGCGCAACCCUUAUCCUUAGUUGCUACGCAAGGGCACUCUAAGGAGACUGCCGGUGACAAACCGGAGGAAGGUGGGGAUGACGUCAAGUCCUCAUGGCCCUUAUGUGUAGGGCUUCACACGUCAUACAAUGGUCGGUACAGAGGGUUGCCAAGCCGCGAGGUGGAGCUAAUCCCAGAAAGCCGAUCGUAGUCCGGAUUGGAGUCUGCAACUCGA